rnacentral:rRNA from 1 species
AUGGCUUUCCGAGAGGAGAGAUAUGUGAGGUUUCAUGACUGGAGGUCAGAGUAUUCUGUCGGGUCAGAUAAGAUAGUUUCAGAAGGAAGGCAUACUGCAUUUGACUCACUAAAGGAUAAGACUCUAGGAGCCUUCUCAUUCUUAGGGAACAGUUCACACCCUGAAACCCUGAACAAAUCAACACCAGAGGAAAGGAAGGCCAAAACAAGAGUUCUUGAUCCUCAAGGGCCAUUUUUGCAAAGAUGGAACAAGAUAUUUGUGAUAUCAUGUCUAAUUGCAGUUUCUGUGGACCCACUAUUCUUUUAUAUCCCAGUGAUCGAUGGUGUCAAGAACUGCCUAUAUCUGGACAAAAAGUUGGCAACCAUUGCAAGUAUCCUGCGCUUCUUCACAGACAUCUUCUAUUUGCUCCAUAUAAUAUUUCAGUUCAGAACAGGAUUUGUUGCUCCUUCCAGAGUAUUUGGUCGUGGUGUCUUGGUUGAAGACACCUUUGCAAUAGCAAAGCGUUAUCUAACUACAUACUUUCUGAUUGAUUUUUUAGCUGUUAUGCCCCUCCCUCAGGUUUUUGUAUUGUUAGUGCUACCCCAUCUCAAAGAUUCCAAGGUUAUGGAGGCAAAAGAUAUACUGAUGGUUAUUGUUACAUGUCAGUACGUGCCUCGGCUCGUUCGAAUAAUACCACUCUACCUUCAAAUCACAAGGUCGGCUGGCAUAAUUACAGAGACGGCAUGGGCUGGUGCUGCUUUUAACCUUUUAAUUUAUAUGCUCGCUAGCCAUGUGUUUGGAGCCCUUUGGUACCUUCUUUCCAUUCAGCGAGAAGAUACCUGCUGGAGAAAAGAAUGUGGCAAGAUAAACUGUAACUUUGCAUCUUUAUAUUGCGGGAGUAAUACAGCUAGAGACACUAUUUUCCUGCAAAAUGUCUGUCUGACAAAUGGCAGCGACGAUAUAGACCCAACCUUUGGAAUUUACCUACCGGCUCUCCGAACUGUUUCACAAUCGACGAGUUUCUUUGAGAAAUUUUUCUAUUGCUUUUGGUGGGGUCUGCAAAGUCUAAGCUCUCUUGGUCAAAAUCUGAAAACAAGCACUUACACAUGGGAGAAUUUGUUUGCUGUUUUUGUCUCGAUAUCGGGUUUAGUCUUAUUUGCCCUUCUUAUUGGUAAUGUGCAGACAUAUUUACAAUCAGCCUCUGUGCGGAUAGAAGAAAUGAGAGUGAAAAGACGUGACACAGAGCAAUGGAUGGCACAUCGAUUACUUCCUGAGAACCUCAAGGGGCGAAUAUUGCGUCAUGAGCAAUACAGAUGGCAAGAAACAAGAGGGGUUGAUGAAGAGGGCCUUCUUAUGAAUCUUCCCAAGGAUCUUAGGAGGGAGAUAAAACGACAUCUUUGUCUAUCACUUCUCAUGAGGGUUCCAAUGUUUGAAAACAUGGACGAGCAGCUCUUGGAUGCAAUGUGUGAUCGUCUAAAGCCCAUGCUGUACACUGAGGACAGCUGCAUAAUUCGAGAAGGAGACCCCGUGAAUGAAAUGCUUUUUGUUAUGAGAGGAUAUCUCGAGAGUAUGACGACAAAUGGUGGACAGAGCGGAUUCUUCAACUCCAAUGUUCUCAAAGGUGGAGACUUCUGCGGUGAAGAGCUCCUCACUUGGGCUCUUGACCCCGCUGCAGUUUCAAACCUUCCCAGCUCAACCAGAACAGUGAAGACAUUGUCUGAAGUUGAAGCCUUUGUUCUGAGGGCUGAUGACUUGAAGUUUGUAGCCACCCAGUUUAGGAAACUCCAUAGCAAACAGCUCCAGCAUACCUUUAGAUUCUACUCACAACAGUGGAGAACCUGGGCCGCUUGUUUUAUACAGGCAGCUUGGCACAGAUAUUGCAGAAAGAAGCUAGAGGAUUCUUUGUUUGAGAAGGAGAAGAGGUUACAAGCAGCUAUUGUAAGUGACGACUCUACCAAGCUCAGUCUGGGCGCAGCACUGUACGCCUCGCGUUUUGCUGGCAACAUGAUGCGGAUCUUACGGAGAAAUGCUACCCGAAAGGCCCGUUUGCAGGAAAGGGUGCCUGCAAGGUUGUUACAGAAGCCGGCAGAACCCAACUUUUUUGCCGUUGGAGAGUAA